UACGUAGGGUGUGAGCGUUGUCCGGAAUUAUUGGGCGUAAAGGGCUCGUAGGCGGUUUGUCACGUCGGGAGUGAAAACUCGGGGCUUAACCCCGAGCCUGCUUCCGAUACGGGCAGACUAGAGGUAUGCAGGGGAGAACGGAAUUCCUGGUGUAGCGGUGAAAUGCGCAGAUAUCAGGAGGAACACCGGUGGCGAAGGCGGUUCUCUGGGCAUUACCUGACGCUGAGGAGCGAAAGUGUGGGGAGCGAACAGG
rnacentral:rRNA from 1 species